rnacentral:rRNA from 1 species
ACCUCUCUCAGUUCGGAUUGAAGUCUGCAACCCGACUUCAUGAAGCUGGAUUCGCUAGUAAUCGCGCAUCAGCCACGGCGCGGUGAAUACGUUCCCGGGCCUUGUACACACCGCCCGUCAAGCCAUGGGAGCCGGGGGUACCUGAAGUGCGUAACCGCAAGGAGCGCCCUAGGGUAAAACUGGUGACUGGGGCUAAGUCGUAACAAGGUAGC